UUGAAAAUAUUAAAUAUAAUGAAAGCAGAUAAUCCAACGAUCAACAAGCCCGGGCCCGAAAAUGGUUAAGGAAAUUACUUAGAACGCUUUAUUGCAGUUGUGUAAAUGUAUGUGCCAGGCAAUAGGAUCCAUCUCCAAUCCCACUUACUAUAAGACAAGAAAAUGUAUAUAAUUUAUCGUAUCCGAAAUCGGAGAUAGUUAAAGAAACAUGUUACAUUUUAUUUUUCAAUCGGCUUUAGGAAUACAUAAAAGUAUUUUGGGAGUAAAGCGGAAAAUAUCAUAAGAAUCGUAUACAUAUGUAUGCAGGAACGAGGCCUUGAAUAUGUACCGAGGGGCAGAGAGAAGAGCAUGUUAAACAGGAGGAGGAGGAUUAGCACACUCAACAAGAAUCUAAACUUGUCUUCUGAGUGCCGAAGAAAACAUAACAUACAGGCAGCUGACAUAAGCGGACCCACACUAUUUUUUCAUUUUAAGUGUGCUAAUCUUACAAAUAUAUGGUGUUUUCUGAAAUAAUAA